UACGUAGGGUGCGAGCGUUGUCCGGAAUUAUUGGGCGUAAAGAGCUUGUAGGUGGUUUGUCGCGUCUGCUGUGAAAAUCCGAGGCUCAACCUCGGACUUGCAGUGGGUACGGGCAGACUAGAGUGUGGUAGGGGAGACUGGAAUUCCUGGUGUAGCGGUGGAAUGCGCAGAUAUCAGGAGGAACACCGAUGGCGAAGGCAGGUCUCUGGGCCAUUACUGACACUGA
rnacentral:rRNA from 1 species